GAUCCUGGCUCAGGAUGAACGCUAGCGACAGGCUUAACACAUGCAAGUCGAGGGGCAGCAUGAUUUGUAGCAAUACAGAUUGAUGGAGACCGGCGCACGGGUGAGUAACGCUUAUGCAACUUACCUAUCAGAGGGGGAUAGCCCGGCGAAAGUCGGAUUAAUACCCCAUAAAACAGGGGUCCCGCAUGGGAAUAUUUGUUAAAGAUUCAUCGCUGAUAGAUAGGCAUGCG
rnacentral:rRNA from 1 species